UACGUAGGGUGCGAGCGUUAAUCGGAAUUACUGGGCGUAAAGCGUGCGCAGGCGGUUUCGUAAGACAGACGUGAAAUCCCCGGGCUCAACCUGGGAACUGCGUUUGUGACUGCGAGGCUAGAGUUUGGCAGAGGGGGGUGGAAUUCCACGUGUAGCAGUGAAAUGCGUAGAGAUGUGGAGGAACACCGAUGGCGAAGGCAGCCCCCUGGGCCAAUACUGACGCUCAUGCACGAAAGCGUGGGGAGCAAAC
rnacentral:rRNA from 1 species